UUGAGACAUUCGGUCAUAUCGAAGGGGAACAAAUUCAGAGAGAAAAGCACGAGAGAAGGGGGUCCUUUCCGUCGGUAAAAAAAAGCAAAGGGUGAAAAAGUGAGUGGAGAGAGGAAAAGUAGAAAAAAAAGAGAAAAAAGAAAAGAAAAGCCCCCCCUUGCGCGACUGUUCAUCUUCCCCGCAGGGGGGGGGGCCUUCGCCGCCCCUGUCGCCGUCGAACCCCGCCGUCGCCGUCGUCGAUCUCCGUCCGCGAGCGCUCGAGCCGCGAGCCCCGACGACCUGCGCCGCCCCGACGCUGAGCCCCCGGAGCCUCGACGACACGCCGCCGCCUGCUCUGGCCCGCGACCCGCCGCCUCCGCCUCACCUCUGCCUGCGCCUGCAACAGGAAGCCCCCGGACGCCGCGCCAAUCCCUGCCGUUGCAACCCUCCUCUGCAGAUCUGUCUCGGCCGUCAUAUCCCAAGCCACCGGUGACCUAGAGCCGCAGCUGAGCCGAGAUCCAGCCGCUGGAGUCCCUCCGCCUGCAAAUCCGAGGUCCCCGACGACAGAAGGCCCGAACCCAGCUCGAGGCUUCCCUUUCACCAGUGCCGAGCCUCGUUGAAGACCCACAUCUGACGCUGCCCUUGCUCCUCGCCGCGACGCUCGCCCCCGAUCCGGUUCUCUCACUGGACGCCGCGCCCAACAGCCCGAUCCAGACGCCGGAGCUCCUCAUCGCAGCCACCAGAGGCCUCCCGCCGUCCCUGCAGCGCCCCGCCGGCUGAAGCCCGUGAUCCGAGCGCCCCGACGCAGCCCCCGCGACGCAGGCCCGUGCCGCCCCGACGCCGCCUCCGCUUCGCCUCCAGCCCGAGCAGACCCGCGACGCUCCCUGCUGCCUCGCUGCCGACACGCCGCUCCGGAGCCUCGCCGGAACCCUAGCCGGUGAUCCCCCCCUCGCCGGACCGGCCACAGCUUUGUUUUUCUUUUUCUUUUUUAGAAAAAAAAAGAGAAAAACAAAAGAAAAUUUAGGUAUUUUCUUUAUCUUAUUUUUGUUUUAUUAUUUUUGCUAUUUUAUUUUAUCUUUUUAGUGUAAUUAUUCCUUUAAUGUGAAAUUGAAAUUCCAUGAUAUGAAAUUGCAACUAGUGAUUGUCAGUCCGAUUUUCAAGCUCGAAAUCCGACUCGCAAUUACUUUAAAAAAAUUGCCAAUCCGAUCUCCCGCUCGAGAUCCGAUUCGUGAUUUAUGUGAAAUUGGCCAACCCGAUCUCAUGCGCGAGAUAUGGUUCGUCGAUUUGGAAAUCAAUAUGGCUUGAUUUGCUGUGGUGUUACUUAAAUUAGUUUUCUUUAAAAAAAAAAUCAAAAAAUGUAGUUUUAGGGUUUGCAUGUUCAUAAUAGGAAUUUUAUUUCGAAUUUUCAAAAAUAAAAAAAUCAAAUCAAUUAAUUUAGGUUGCUAGUUCUUUUUUUAAUUUGGAUUGCAUGUUUAAUUAUUUGGCAAUUAUUAAUUUCGAAAUUUAAAAAAAGGGAAAAAAGGAAAAACACAAAAAAUGUCAUUAUGCAUAUGUCAUGUAGAAUUAGGGCAUUCUUUGCACGUCAUUGCAUGCUAAGAUUGCAUAUUAUAGGUUUAGAUAAUUUCUCCUAAAUAAAUUGCAUGCUUAUUAGGAAAAUAAAAAUCAUGUGCACGUCAUAUAGAAUUAGUUUCAUACAAUGCACGUCAUUUAGUGAUUUUUGUUAGAUGCAUUUAAUUAGAAAUUGCCUGUCAUUAGAAUUAGGUCAUUAGAUUAAUUUAGAUUGCAUAUUUAAAUGUUGCAUUUCUUUAAUUUCGAAUCUCAUAGAAAAUACAAAAAAAAUUAUUUAGAAUAAAUCAUCUCAUGCUUAUGAUAGACUACAUGCUUAGUUAUGUCAUAUUGCUUAGGUCAUAUAGCUAAGUCAUGUUG
rnacentral:lncRNA from 1 species